UUGAAUUUUCUAAAACAAAGUUUUUUAAUUUAUCCCUAUGUUGUUUUUUUUUAAUAUUGAAAUUCAUUUUCAGCUGAGCAGGAAGAAAACAAUAAAACUUUGGACCGUAGUAAAGGAAAGUGUGCUGCAGAUGUGAACUAUCAAAUCUAGGAACUAUGACCGUUUUUCUGUUGGUAUAUCUAGUUGGACGCAGAAAUACCGUCUGGACCCGGUGCAGAAUUGUUCCUCAGGGAAGCAAUCACAUUAACAAUCUCAUUUUCUGUUACUGGACUAAGGUAGAUGGAGGCCUCAGUCGCAUGGAAUUUUGGUACCAGAUCUUUAUUGUGCGGUCCGAUUUUUUUAAUUAUCUGUUUGGCAAUAGUUGUGAAAAAUGAAUUGAAUCCUUCUGCCUUAUCGCAGUCUGUUUUUGAUACAACAUUAUUAUCAAUUAUUUCACCUAUAAUACUUUUUUUUUUCUUCGUAAUUCUAUCUAUUUGAUUGAUUUCAUUCCAAAUUUUUUUUGUGUCAUUUGCAGCAAGUUUUAUUUUGUUAGCAUAGUAUGAAUUCUUAGUUUCUUUUAUCAACUUGUUCAAUUUAUUUCUGUAAGUUGUGAAAAGUUUCAUAUUUUCUGUCGUGGGACUUUUGAUAAAUUUCAUUUUUAAUU